rnacentral:rRNA from 1 species
AGCGAACGCUGGCGGCAGGCCUAACACAUGCAAGUCGAACGAAGUCUUCGGACUUAGUGGCGGACGGGUGAGUAACACGUGGGAACGUGCCUUUAGGUUCGGAAUAACUCAGGGAAACUUGUGCUAAUACCGAAUGUGCCCUUCGGGGGAAGGAUUUAUCGCCUUUAGAGCGGCCCGUGUCUGAUUAGCUAGUUGGUGAGGUAAAGGCUCACCAAGGCUACGAUCAGUAGCUGGUCUGAGAGGAUGACCAGCCACAUUGGGACUGAGACACGGCCCAAACUCCUACGGGAGGCAGCAGUGGGGAAUCUUGCGCAAUGGGCGAAAGCCUGACGCAGACAUGCCGCGUGGAUGAUGAAGGUCUUAGGAUUGUAAAAUCCUUUCACCGGUGAAGAUAAUGACUGUAGCCGGAGAAGAAGCCCCGGCUAACUUCGUGCCAGCAGCCGCAGUAAAAC